AGAGUUUGAUCCUGGCUCAGAAUCAACGCUGGCGGCGUGCCUCAGACAUGCAAGUCGAACGAUUAAACUUUCCUUCGGGAAAGAUAUAAAGUGGCGCACGGGUGAGUAACACGUAGGUAAUGUACCUUUGGGUGGGGAAUAACUUAGGGAAACUUAAGCUAAUACCGCAUAAUGCAGCGGCUCCUUCGGGAGACAGUUGUUAAAGAUUUAUCGCCUAAAGAACAGCCUGCGGCAGAUUAGCCAGUUGGUAAGGUAACGGCUUACCAAGGCUAUGAUCUGUAUCCGACCUGAGAGGGUGGUCGGACACACUGACACUGAAUAACGGGUCAGACUCCUACGGGAGGCAGCAGUCGGGAAUUUUGGGCAAUGGGCGAAAGCCUGACCCAGCAACGCCGCGUGAAGGAUGAAGUCUUUCGGGAUGUAAACUUCGUAAGAAUAGGAAGAAUAAAUGACGGUACUAUUUGUAAGGUCCGGCUAACUACGUGCCAGCAGCCGCGGUAAUACGUAGGGACCAAGCGUUGUUCGGAUUUACUGGGCGUAAAGGGCGCGUAGGCGGCGUGACAAGUCAAUAGUGAAAUCUCCCGGCUUAACUCGGAACGGUCAAUUGAUACUGUUGUGCUAAAGUACGGAAGGGCCAAUCGGAAUUCUGGGUGUAGCGGUGAAAUGCGUAAAUUUCAAGAGGAACACCUGAGGUGAGACGGGUUGCUGGGCUGAUACUGACCCUGAGGCCCAAAAGCUANGGUAUCCAAACGGAUGAAAUACCCUGAUANUUAG
rnacentral:rRNA from 1 species